CGCCGCCAGCCGCCGCCGCCGCCACCUUCCUCUUCCGGGCCGGGCGCACUGCCCUUCCGCUGCCGCCGCCCCGGCGGGAAGGGGGGCAGUGCCGAGCGGCCCCCGCCGGCUCGGGGCGGUUCUGGGCGGCUGGGGGCGGUUCUGGGCGGCCCGGCCCGGCCGCGGUGGCACCAGGUGCGCGUGGUCUGCGCGUAGCUCCCGCGGCAGCGUUGUCGGAAAUGCCCGAGUUUUAACGCAAAACCGCUUCUGACGCGGGUCAGGACUUCGCCAUGGCUCUGCAUUUGACUCGGAAGCUACUUCAGUGCCGUUGAAAGCCGUGCAGAUGAUCCAGUAAUGAAGCAAUGGAUCAGCAUGGUAUGAGCAGAUGCCAUAUUGCUAAUGGUGCCAUUUUUCCACUGAGCCACAAAAACAAAGUCCUGACUAUUUAUGGUUGUUAGAGGUCACAACUCACCUUUUGAAAAGUAAAGCUCUUAAUCCCAGUAUGCUGGCCAAAAUCUAUUUUAGGUAAUUCCACUCUGGCUAUCAGCCUUUCCUGUAUUGUUCCAAUUGGAUGUAGUAUUGGCCUUCACAUCCUGUUCCAAACUGUGCUGUGCUCCUCUGUGUUUUGGAAUGGUUGAUAUUUUCCAGAGACUGCUACACUGCAGUGGUGUGUGAAGUGAUCUCUAUAUAUCCCUCACUUGUCUCACAGGAAUGGAAUGAAGAUUAAUCAAUUAUAGCUGAAUCUUGAUCCCGGUGAAGUCAAAAGAAGUGCCUUUCCAUUGGCAUUACUGGGGCCAGGGUUUGCUUCUGUGUACAUGUUAUCGUUUUGAGAUUCCUACGUGUAAAAACAAAUUAAAAUGCAAGGCAUUACCUUGCUGAAGCUGUCUGUGUAGUAAGAAUUCCUUUAGCUAGAGAGAAAAAUAUAUUUUAAAGGCUAUUUCCUGAAGAGUAUAACUGCUUAUCACAACAGGCAUUAUUGUGCCUGAAGAAAUUCCAGUUCUUUGAAUGUGGCUUUAAGCACCUGGUUUUCAUUGCCUGGCAUUUAUGGCUUUGCAUGUCCUGUGCAUUCAAAAAAUGCCUUGUUACACUUUCAGGGCUGGCUCCUGCUCUUUUCCCAAUUCAGCUAAUGGUGUGGAAUUGUUAUAUCAGAAGCCAUGUUCCCAAAGCCAUCAAGAAUUCAGCUUCAGAUAUUGGAAGCAAGUUGAAUAGAAAGAGUGGUCAUGGACUAUUUUGGGAAAAGUGUACUCAGCAGAUGGACAUAGCAAUAAGAGCGAAUAUCCAGUCAGCCACCGAGGAACAGAAGAGCUGUAAUAAAUAUUAUUAAAGGUGGGUAUGGAUGAAGGUUAGCCUAUUCCUGUAGGAAAACUAUCAAAUUAAAUUUAGAAAAAUGUUGAUACAUACACAACAUAAAUCAUGUGUUCUGCAAGUGAACAGUAAAUGAAAAACAGAGGGUAUGUGUCAUCCAUAUUGUACAAUAUUGAGUUAAUUUCAUUCUCUCAGGUACGUAGAAGAGGUUUUGAUAUGUAUGUAUAAAUAUUAUUCCAUUGGCCAUGGAUUAAUUUAGAACACUUGAAAUGCACAGCUCAGAGCUUUUCUGUAAGUCGUGAGGGUCCUUAUCCACCUUCCACUAAGUCCUGUUGAGUUAGACUGAAUUCUGUAAUGCUUGGUGUUACCUCCUGCGGUGUUGCCUUGUGAUCCCUCCUCUGGCUCCAAAGCCCUAACUGAGCAGUGGUAGAGAAACUUAAUUUGAUAUUAAUACAUGGGUGCUGCUGCCUGCCAUAUUUUCACUACUUGCUCAAAACCCAGGUAGCUACUCUGGAUCUAGAGCAGCACUCCUCAGGUGCUUCAGCUGCUACUCUGGAACUAGAGCAGCACUCCUCAGGCGCUUCAGCUGCAAACAUACGCCUAAAGUGUUUUUUUAAAGAUUUGCAAAUGAAUAAAAAUUUCCCUCUGAUUUUUUCCAUAUUCUGGAUUUUAUACAUCCCCAAGAACUAUGAAAUUUUCUCCAGAAAAGUGGAAUCUAGGUUUCUCAUUAGGUAUUACCACUUCUAUAAUGUACGUUAACUAGCAUUACAGAAGAUUGGGUUUAAAAAUGUCAAUAGUAAAUAUUUUAUGAGAAGCAAAAUUUGGGGCUGAAUAAAAUAUGAUUGCAUUUGUUUAACUGAUACGUAGUGUUUGUUUAUUUUCCCAAGUAUUGUUGCAGAGCAAAGUUAGAUUAGGUAGAAUUAGGAAUGGAAAACCUCCCUUCGAACUAGCUUUAUCUAGGGAAGAAAUUCAUACAGGAGAGGGAUCCAGAUACCUCUGCCCACAAGGAAACAUACAGGCCUUUAUCAAGCCACAGGGCACCAAGUAAAUGAAUCAGACCUCCGGCAUACCCAUGGAAAUGUCUGCUUUUGCCAAUAAGGCAAGCAAGGAGCUGAUUAAGGGGCAAAGUCUGCUGGUGAGUAAGUUCUAAAGAAGCACAAAGAACGAGGUAUUUUGCGUGAGUCGGGAGUAUGAGUACGUACAUGCAGCCAAAAUAAACACUUCUGGAGAUCUGAAAUGCCCUGAAAGGACUGGUCUAGCCCCAGCCUCUCUUCCCCACUCCUUUCUUACAUGGAAGAGGAGGUGGGAAUGGUGUUUUCUUUGCAGAGUGAGGAGGGUGGGACCACAGUGGGGAGUGAUCCCCCCGGGGGGGGGGGUCGGGGGGGAGGGCUGCUUGCUGGCCUGUGAGGGACCCUGGGGGAAGGGUGAGAGGGCAGCGGUGGGAGCAGGCUGCUGGCUCUGCUCUCAUGGGCAGUAGCAGUUUACAUGCAGUGCAGGAUCACAGCAGAGUGCCAGGCUCAGCAAGGGGGCCUCAGCCCUCCUUUGCUCUGCCAAGCUGGAGCCCUGCCCUGCCCAGGGAGCAAAGCAGGCAGCAAACACCGCCGGGGCUCUUCCCCACCAUGGCCCUGGCUCUUCACCCCGCUCUGCAGCCUGGGCCCCCAUGCAAGCAGAAGGCACUGUGGCAUGCACCGUAGAGCCCGUCGCAGCCAGUAUAAUGGAAUGGGCUAAUUGAAAAGGCAGCAUCAAAGUGCCAGUCUGCGGUUGCUUGGAAAUGUAAUCCAACUUUGGUAUUAUUUUUGAGCUGAGAUUUUUUUGAAUCCAAAAUUCCAUGUGACGGAAGAGAUGGGUAUUUAAACAGAUGUCUGCAAUUCCUCUAAAAAAUAGAGAUUGAGUUACAGAUGGUAAAAAGGGUCUGGGAAUUAAAAACUCCUGAGCUAUAAGAAAAUUUACAUGUGAGCAAAAUGGUUUGCUAAAGUGAAUGGUUCUGCAAUUCUGUGUGUUUGAAAAUUAAGUUUCUUUCACCAAAAAUGUGAAUAUCUUUUCCCUUCUGUAUUAUCUGCAUCUCUACUAGUAGCUUUGGCUGCCACCAUCACCAUUAUAGCCAAUUUGCAGUAUGAGGGUCCUGUUUCUAACAGACAAGGCAUAUAGUUUUUCCUUCUCCUCUCUCUCAUACAAUCUGGCCUGCUAGGACCAAAAUUUUUGAUCUGAAUUAGCUUAAGAAGAAAAAUUAUCCAUCCCAUCUGCAGAACUGGUGCCUGACUGCUCUAACUUGCAUUUUGUAAAUCACAAACGGAAUUGUGUGCUAUGAGACCAGAACGAAACCAGAAUCAUCAUUUGUACUUGCAAAUGAAUUGGGAUUUUAUUUUUUUUCUUCUGUUGUGGAUUUAAAAAGAAAAUGACCAAAAUAAACUUUGAGUGGAAAAGCUAAUGACUUGUGACAUAUGAAAUACAAAGUGCUGCAUAUUGGAAGGGAAAACUGAACGUAUUUUGUGUAGUUCUAAGGAGCAAUUCAGGACCCAUCUCAUCAGCUGGGAGACUUGUGCAUCACUGAGAACAACUUGAUGAAGAUCACUACUCAUACAUCUGUGCUCAAAAAAAGAAGUAUUAGGAUGUAUGUGAAAUAAUAACCGACUCCACUGCAAGAUGUAAGAAUAUUUUUUACAUGCGGUGCUCCUCACCACAGCGAGGAGUGCCAGUCUGUGCAUUGCAAAAACAAUUCGAAUUAGCGUGAUUCCAGAGAAGAGUUGCAAGACCCACUAGGUGCAGAGAAAAGCUGUCAUAUGGAGAGUGACUGAACUUACUUUACAGUGGAGGGGACAUAAUCAAAGUGUCUACAUCAAUCAAUGUAUCACUGUAUUAAGAAGGAGAAUUGGGAGUAUCUAUUUUCUCUGCUUUGUAAGUACGAAGAAAUAGUACGGUUAAAGAGGCAAGCUUUUCUCCAAGAAUGGGACCACCUUUACAGAUGCCGAGGUUCAGUAUUCACUCCGAGAUGUGUUCCCGUCUGGAUUUCUAGUAGACCAAAGUAUGGAGCAUGCCUAAAGGAUCCAUACCGACUUGUUCAUUAAUGCUGACAGAUGCUGUCUUAUUAUAGUAGUAGUAUUAGAAAUUCAUCAGCAUGUUACAAGUUUGCAGCCUCUUACAGUAUGCUGUGUACUUACAGUUCAGGAUUGGGUGACCCGUGUGAGUUGGUUUGGCAUAUUUUGGCUUUGCUGGCUUUGUUUAUAAGUGUAUGUCUUUUCUCCCCAGAAUCUUACUUUGUAUUACUUUUUGUUAGCUGUGUUUUUGUCUUCAUUGAGAAGGCAGUAUAUACCACGGUGUGAUGACAACAGUUCUUUGCAUUUACAUUAAAAACUGCUUUGAACUGAUAUUUGCAUAUUUUACAGGACAACCUUUUGAAAAUGAGAUAGAAACCACUCAUAUACCUUCUGUUACUACACUAAGACAGGAGUUUCCUGACACUAAGUAAUUAUAUAUAAGAAUGAACUACAAAUAAUAAGAAGAGAAGGUUCAACUUCUCCUUUUAAGGAUGAUUGACAAAAGAUGCUUAAAAAUGGGCUUGUCCUUUUCACUUUUGCAGACAUAGAAGGUAGUUGGAAAUGGUUGUUUUGGGAUGUUUGGUUUAUUUCCAGAGGACUGAGGGGAGAAGAAUUGUUUUUACCCUAAAAAUCACGUGAAUGUCAACUUGGGUUUUUUUCUGUCUUGCUGGAGGACUUGUUGAAGGUCUCAGAUGUUUAUUGUGAGCGCUGACAUUUUAAUUGAAAGGACAAAAGUGUUGAUUUUUUUAAACAAAUAGAUCCUUUGUCCAAAUUGUUUAUUAGUUACUGGAUUAAGUAGGUUUUAACAACAAAAAUAAUAAAUCAGAGUUCUAAACAGUCUAACUUAAAAUCCUUUCUUUUUCUCAGUUGCUCAUCUUUAAAAGUUUAUAUCCCGUGAUAUUAUAAUUACAUUAAUUCUCCAGCUGUCAAGGGAUUUUGAAAGCUAAUCCUCCAUUUCGGAUGUAAAAAUCAAGAAUUCCCCAGAGCUUUUUUGGCUAAACUUCUGGAUCACAUUUAAAGCAUGCAAAUGGUUGGUUAUUUGUCAAAGCAAAAAGUGGAAAAUGGCACAGUUCCGCCAUAGUAAAAAAAAUGCAAAUUUCAUCAUUCUAGUUGAAAAAAAGAAAAACACAGUAUUGAAUAUUUUAUUUAAAACUAUCUGCCAUGGGAAAUAGGGAGAAGACUGACUUGAAGUAUAAUAGUUCAAAAAGACUAAACAGCACUUCUUCUGAAAUAAGAUUAUAUAUAAAAUAGAGUGGUAAAAGAUGGCAAUAAUGAAAGCCAAACAAAAGGCAAGAAAAUAAACACUGAGAGCUGGGAAGAGACCAGCAAGCUCUUUGCUUCUCAGAAUGCAGACUGCAUGCAUCCACUUAGGUUGCCAGAGCCGUUCUCUGAAAAAGAUAUUCACCCUGUAUCUAGGAAUCAAAAAUUAUAUCUUUAGGAGGCCCAUGGGAAUAGGAGAAAUUACUCAUCUAAAGAAGUUACAUCCAUUUGCAGAAUGUGGAUAUAUUUAUUGUUCAGCUUGAAUCAUGCUGAGGGAUCCUGUGCCUUCAGCCUUCUGAGUUUUCCUGAACCUUGCCACAGUAAUAAAAGCACACUCGUGAAUGCUAAAUGAGGACUGAAUUAUCCCCAUCCUGUACUGGAACCAGAUCGGAAGUGAGAUAUUAUGUCACGUAUGAAAGCUUAAGAGCUAAUUAAUUUUGACAGCGUAUUUAUAGUUCUCAUCUACAGAGAUCUCAAAAAUAAGAAAAGAGAAUACUAAAAAAAAUUACACUAAAAUAAUGUAUAUCAAUGAGAUCUAUACCCAAAUUAGGACUCUUCCUAACAGUGGAGGAAUUCAAUAUUGAAUCAUGCAUAGAGCAAUCACUUCAUUCACUACUGAUAAUGUUAAACAGUUUGCACGAAAUCUGGGCCUUGUUCAAACCCGUGGGACUUUUGCCAUUGACUUAAAUGGGGAGAGGACCUUAUCCUGUUUGGCAGAGGGAAGAAGGCAAUGACAGUGUGCCACACACACGGCCAGGAGGAAGGGACGGCCAUCUGGAGCAAGAGAGGCAAUAUCAGACAAAGAGAGCGUGCUUAGGGAAAUCCAGAUUUGACCAGGAAGCUAGGCUUAAUUUGCUCUUUCUCGGACAAAACGUCUCAGGAUCCUUGAGAUGGUGGAAGCACGACUUUGUCUCUUCUGAAGGACGGUUCUGAAAACAGCCUAAGUCAAGCUUUACAAAGGGGCAGAUGAACCAAAGCAAUACACAAAACGUUGUCUGUAUACGUGUCAUGGUAAUUCUGCAGCUACCUAUGCUUCCAUAAACCUAACCUUUUUUGUAACUAGGGAUGAAAAUACACUCUUUAAUGCAAGCUUGGAAAAGAUUAAAAAAUUAGAAAACA